rnacentral:rRNA from 1 species
GGCUAACUACGUGCCAGCAGCCGCGGUAAUACGUAGGGCGCAAGCGUUAUCCGGAAUUAUUGGGCGUAAAGAGCUCGUAGGCGGUUUGUCGCGUCUGCCGUGAAAGUCCGGGGCUUAACUCCGGAUCUGCGGUGGGUACGGGCAGACUAGAGUGCAGUAGGGGAGACUGGAAUUCCUGGUGUAGCGGUGAAAUGCGCAGAUAUCAGGAGGAACACCGAUGGCGAAGGCAGGUCUCUGGGCUGUAACUGACGCUGAGGAGCGAAAGCAUGGGGAGCGAACAGGAUUAGAUACCCUGGUAGUCCAUGCCGUAAACGUUGGGCACUAGGUGUGGGGGACAUUCCACGUUUUCCGCGCCGUAGCUAACGCAUUAAGUGCCCCGCCUGGGGAGUACGGCCGCAAGGCUAAAACUCAAAGGAAUUGACGGGGGCCCGCACAAGCGGCGGAGCAUGCGGAUUAAUUCGAUGCAACGCGAAGAACCUUACCAAGGCUUGACAUGAACCGGAAUGAUGCAGAGAUGUGUCAGCCACUUGUGGCCGGUUUACAGGUGGUGCAUGGUUGUCGUCAGCUCGUGUCGUGAGAUGUUGGGUUAAGUCCCGCAACGAGCGCAACCCUCGUUCCAUGUUGCCAGCGGGUUAUGCCGGGGACUCAUGGGAGACUGCCGGGGUCAACUCGGAGGAAGGUGGGGACGACGUCAAAUCAUCAUGCCCCUUAUGUCUUGGGCUUCACGCAUGCUACAAUGGCCGGUACAAAGGGUUGCGAUACUGUGAGGUGGAGCUAAUCCCAAAAAGCCGGUCUCAGUUCGGAUUGAGGUCUGCAACUCGACCUCAUGAAGUUGGAGUCGCUAGUAAUCGCAGAUCAGCAACGCUGCGGUGAAUACGUUCCCGGGCCUUGUACACACCGCCCGUCAAGUCACGAAAGUUGGUAACACCCGAAGCCGGUGGCCUAACCCCUUGUGGGAGGGAGCCGU